rnacentral:lncRNA from 1 species
ACGGCCUUCCACCGAUCCCGCCGCGGCCUCGUCCCGGCGCACCGCCCCCGCUCCCGCCUCCUUCCGACGUGUCGCCGUCCCUGCCUUCUUCGCUGUGCCGCCGCCCCUCCCCCCGCGGGCACCUUCCGCACCCGCGUCCACCUUCAUCCGCCACCCGCGUCGACUGCCCCCGCCCCCGAAACCGGUCGACGCGCCGCCUCCGCCCGUGGAUCCGGCCAGGGUGCCUCCUCCUCCUCGGCCGCUGCGCUGCUUCCACCCCCCGUAUCCGGCCUCCACGACGCCUCCUACCCUAGAUCUGCCUGCGGGACAGCUCCCGUCGUGCACACCUCCCCAAACCACCUUCCACCAUGCGCGCCCUUCCCGGAAAUCUUGCUGCCGCGCGCGCCUUCCCUGGAUCCCCCGCCUAGCCGGAUCCCGCUUCAGCCGUCGCAAGCCUCCACGGAUCCCGUCGGCGCCCUCCCUUCGGCGUGCCCCUGGAUCCCGCCGUCACAUCCUGCCGGCAUGCCCCUGUCCCCCCACUGCUGCUAGCCACCGCGGCGCACACCAGAUUCGUCCGCCGCCAUGGACAGCCACCUGCUAGGCGAAUCACCAGCAUCUUCGUACUAGGAAAAAAACUCUAGCAGUGUUCAGUUAUUCUGAUUUCUUUCAGCAGUUCAAUGUAUGUUACACAAGAAGAAGAAACUAACAGUAGGUUGUAGAUGUUCUGUUUUGUGAUUUUCGUAGACUUGCAGCAAUUUAGAUGUUUGCAAGUCAAACAUAGUUCUCUUUGCUUCUGUUGAUUUUCUUGGCACAUCAGGAUUGUACUCUUUGGCAGGUCAAACAGAGUUCUCGUGGUAGGUCAAACAAAGAUGUCUGUGGAGCCGUCUCUGCUAGUCGACAUCCCCAUCUACCACACAUUAUGUUCCUGUUAUCGCCACAAAAACAUAGCACAACAAGACUAAAGUGCUAGUCGUCCACCUCCUCGAGCACCUCGUUGCUUCCUCUUUGCUUUUUGAGAAAUCUACACGAACCCUAUAUUGUGCCAUACUUCUACUAAAUUUAUUGUCCAUCGUGUUCCUGCAGCCUCUCACUCAUAUUCGUGUAUCUCAUUUCAUAGCUUGGAUUUUGUAACUUGUUAAGUUUAUUGUGCAUAACCUUUAGAAAGAUACCGAAAAAGGUGUGUUAUGGACCUAGUAACUCCUUCCCUUUUUCCAUUCAUGCAUGUUUUUUCUCUUCUACUACAUAUUCUGGUUCAGAAAGAUCA